ACUCAAAACCUACCGUGCUCCCUACGUGGAAAACAUCGCGAGCCCCCCGGGGCAUGAGGAAUCUGAGACGUUGAGAACUGCGCCCCGGCGCACGACGAAGCAAAAAGAAUUACAACCCAUAACAAUGGAUCUCUUGGCUCUGGCAUCGAUGAAGAACGCAGCGAAAUGCGAUAACUAAUAUGAAUUGCAGAAUUCAGUGAAUCAUCGAGUCUUUGAACGCACAUUGCGCCCCCCGGCAUUCCGGAGGGCAUGUCCGACCGAGCGUCACUAGCACCGCCCGAGCCCGCCCCUCUCGCGGGGCGGGGGCUCGGUGUUGGGGACCGCGGGGAAGGACGGGGCGCCUGCCCCGCCGCCCGCGGCCCUGAAAAGCAGUGGCGGCCCUCCUAGGCAACCCCCAGCGCAGUAGAACUCUCUCGCUCGGGCGCCCAGGCGGGACGGCCUCGAACCACCCAAAACUCACACCCGGUUGGCCUCGGGUCGGACAAGAUUACCCGC
rnacentral:rRNA from 1 species